GAUGCAGCCAUGCCGCGUGUAUGAAGAAGGCCUUCGGGUUGUAAAGUACUUUCAGCGGGGAGGAAGGUGUUGUGGUUAAUAACCGCAGCAAUUGACGUUACCCGCAGAAGAAGCACCGGCUAACUCCGUGCCAGCAGCCGCGGUAAUACGGAGGGUGCAAGCGUUAAUCGGAAUUACUGGGCGUAAAGCGCACGCAGGCGGUCUGUCAAGUCGGAUGUGAAAUCCCCGGGCUCAACCUGGGAACUGCAUUCGAAACUGGCAGGCUUGAGUCUUGUAGAGG
rnacentral:rRNA from 1 species